GAUGAACGCUGGCGGCGUGCCUAAUACAUGCAAGUCGAGCGAAAAGACGCGGAGCUUGCUCCACUGACGUUAACGGCGGAAGGGUGAGUAACACGUGGAUAACCUACCUAUAAGACUGGGAUAACUUCGGGAAACAGGAGCUAAUACCGGAUAAUAUAUUGAACCGCAUGGUUCAAUAGUGAAAGACGGUUUUGCUGUCACUUAUAGCUGGAUCCGCGCCGCAUUAGCUAGUUGGUAAGGUAACGGCUUACCAAGGCGACGAUGCGUAGCCGACCUGAGAGGGUGAUCGGCCACACUGGAACUGAGACACGGUCCAGACUCCUACGGGAGGCAGCAGUAGGGAAUCUUCCGCAAUGGGCGAAAGCCUGACGGAGCAACGCCGCGUGAGUGAUGAAGGUCUUCGGAUCGUAAAACGCUGUUAUUAGGGAAGAACAAAUGUGUAAGUAACUAUGCACGUCUUGACGGUACCUAAACAGAAAGCCACGGCUAACUACGUG
rnacentral:rRNA from 1 species